rnacentral:rRNA from 1 species
UACAGAGGUCCCGAGCGUUGUUCGGAUUUAUUGGGCGUAAAGGGUGCGUAGGCGGCGGAGUAAGUUGGGUGUGAAAUCCCGGGGCUUAACCUCGGAAUUGCAUUCAAUACUGCUUCGCUAGAGUACUGGAGAGGAGGCUGGAAUUUACGGUGUAGCAGUGAAAUGCGUAGAUAUCAGAAGGAACAUCAGUGGCGAAGGCGGCUUCCUGGACCAAUACUGACGAUCAGGUGCGAAAGCGUGGGGAGCAAACAGG